AACCAUUUACUUUGUCUGAUAGAGCUAGAGAAGGGUUUUUUACUUACUCAGACAGAGAGCACAGCUUAUCUAAGCAACUGUCCUUAGGUUCUACUGCAUCUGGGCCUAGGAUUGUUCACUAUACAGACCUAACUGCUCGCACAGACAGGUUUCUACUGCAAUAAGGCGAAGCCCAUUAGUUUACUCAUCUAGCCUUCUCAUCCUGAGGGGUUCUGGAUUUUUCUCUUAAAGAGGCAGUACACAGCAGUUGCUCCUGGUUCAGUUCUCUACUUUAAUGACUGGUAUCAGAUCCUGUAAGAAAGAACAUUUAACCAUGCUGAAGUCAGAGUUAAGCAAGAAUUAUUCGGCAUGGAUCUCUGAGGCCAUCUGAUACUGACCUGGGGGUUUUGCUUAUGGCCAAGUUACUACUACAUGCUAUUCUUAGCACUUGGAAACAAUUUGGGAUAAGAAAAGUUGAUGAGCCAACGAGGCAUCUUAAAUUUGCAGCUUGUUGGAGCAAAAGAGAUCACUGAGCAACGUGAUAACAUUGGCAGGAGAAACCACCAUUCUCAAAUGUCCAGCCAGUAUCAAAAUGAAUGAGCUGUUAAUAAGCAGAAUGCUCUGGACUCACUUCAAGAUCACUGACAGUUCACCAGACCUUAUUAUAUUAUAAUAUUAUUAUUAUUGUA